GAUGAACGCUGGCGGCGUGCCUAAUACAUGCAAGUCGAGCGAACAGAUGAGGAGCUUGCUCCUCUGACGUUAGCGGCGGACGGGUGAGUAACACGUGGAUAACCUACCUAUAAGACUGGGAUAACUUCGGGAAACCGGAGCUAAUACCGGAUAAUAUAUUGAACCGCAUGGUUCAAUAGUGAAAGACGGUUUUGCUGUCACUUAUAGAUGGAUCCGCGCCGCAUUAGCUAGUUGGUAAGGUAGCGGCUUACCAAGGCAACGAUGCGUAGCCGACCUGAGAGGGUGAUCGGCCACACUGGAACUGAGACACGGUCCAGACUCCUACGGGAGGCAGCAGUAGGGAAUCUUCCGCAAUGGGCGAAAGCCUGACGGUGCAACGCCGCGUGAGUGAUGAAGGUCUUCGGAUCGUAAAACUCUGUUAUUAGGGAAGAACAAAUGUGUAAGUAACUAUGCACGUCUUGACGGUACCUAAUCAGAAAGCCACGGCUAACUACGUG
rnacentral:rRNA from 1 species